ACCUCCACUUUCUUUCAAUCGAUUCUCUUUCUUAUUUCAUUUCCUUCUCUCUCUAAUUUCACUCGCCUAAAGUAACCCACUAACCCAUCUUCGUUUUCUUCUUCCCCUUCUAUUUGUAUACAAUUUGUGGUUAGAUGGAACUUAACUUGGUUUCUUCAAUUGCUUGGACAGGUAAGAUGACUACUUAAACAAGCAAUCGUAUUAUAUACUUGUUCUCUUAUCCAUUUGUUAAUUACCCAUCUGUUUGUUGUGAAUUCCUUUCAUAAUCUUUUGGUUACUAGUUAAGUAUACUUCAAUUAAUCUCAAUCAUUACUUAACAAGUCUCUUAUUCUUCAUCUGUUUGCAUAAAUUAGCCAGGCCAAUAACUUAAUCAGUUAUAUUCGACCACCAAUUGUUAUAGACCUUCAAUCAAUUUACUGAUUCCCAAUAUUUGGCAAUUUAGUACUAUUUGCAAUUAUAUUUUUAGAAGUAGACUUGGCUUUUUUUUUUUUUUUUUUAAGAGUGGGGGAUGGUGGUAGUGGAGAUAUACAGAUAGAUUUAGCUAUUGCAAUUUUGAUGUAUGGAAUAUCCUGAUUAGUAAAAUAAUGGAUAUGGUUCAGCAACUUCGACAGCUUAGUUACUGCAAUCUCCAGACAUUCACAAAGACUUACAACCAAUGUUGCAUAAAAAACAAUCAAAUCAAUUUAAUGGUAGCAAUACAUUGCUUCUAAACACUGAGAUCACAGCUCCCCAUGUCUGUAAAUGUUAGAAAAAUAUAUCGACAAGGGACGGUAUUUAUGUAGUAUAAGACACUUUAACCACCCUCUAGACUCACCCAUCUUGAACUGGUAACUUAACUUGGCUUCUUCAAUUGACUUGGACUGCAGAUUAACAUGGCUUCAAUUGCUUGGACAGGUAAUUUGGUAUCUACUAUUGCUCGCGAUUCUUCUAAUACUAUCUAAUUCUGCUUCACACUUUGAUAAAUGCUUUAGUAGAGUGUUUACUGAUAUACCAGUUCUCUUAUGCAAUUGUUAAUUACCAUGUUCCUUCCAUAUUUUUUUUUUUUUUUUGGGUUAUGGUUAACUAUUUCUUCUUGAUUUUGGUUUGUAUGAUCAUUCUUUCUGUUAUCCAAAUUGUUAUUGAUGUACUUUCAUACUGGUGCCUCCAAUAAGUUAUUUUGGAUUCUGAACAUCUUCAUCGAAUCAAAAUGGUGCAUCGUAUUGAACUAUUGGAGAACAAAUUGGCUGAGAUGAGAAGGACAGGAAAAGAAUGAGAACAUGAAAUGCAACGUGAAAUUGUCAAAACGAGAAGGCAAGCACAAGAAAAGGAAGAACAGGGACAGCAGGAGUUUGAUCAAAUGAAGAGAAGAUUUGAGGGAAAAAUAGAGGAAAUGCAGAGAAACUGUGAUGAAUAAUCCACGGGAAUGGAAGAAAGAAUCUUUGAAACACUGUUACAGAGGGAUGCCAAUCUUCA
rnacentral:lncRNA from 1 species